GACGAACGCUGGCGGCGUGCCUAAUACAUGCAAGUCGAACGCUUUUUCUUUCACCGGAGCUUGCUCCACCGAAAGAAAAAGAGUGGCGAACGGGUGAGUAACACGUGGGUAACCUGCCCAUCAGAAGGGGAUAACACUUGGAAACAGGUGCUAAUACCGUAUAACACUAUUUUCCGCAUGGAAGAAAGUUGAAAGGCGCUUUUGCGUCACUGAUGGAUGGACCCGCGGUGCAUUAGCUAGUUGGUGAGGUAACGGCUCACCAAGGCAACGAUGCAUAGCCGACCUGAGAGGGUGAUCGGCCACACUGGGGCUGAGACACGGCCCAGACUCCUACGGGAGGCAGCAGUAGGGAAUCUUCGGCAAUGGACGAAAGUCUGACCGAGCAACGCCGCGUGAGUGAAGAAGGUUUUCGGAUCGUAAAACUCUGUUGUUAGAGAAGAACAAGGAUGAGAGUAAAACGUUC
rnacentral:rRNA from 1 species